GGCCAGACUCCUACGGGAGGCAGCAGUGAGGAAUAUUGGUCAAUGGCGGGAAGGCUGAACCAGCCAAGCCGCGUGAAGGACGAAGGUGCCAAGCAUUGUAAACUUCUUUUGUCAAGGGACAAAAUCAGGCUCGAGAGCCUGACCGAGGGUACUUGAAGAAAAAGCAUCGGCUAACUCCGUGCCAGCAGCCGCGGUAAUACGGAGGAUGCGAGCGUUAUCCGGUUUUAUUGGGUUUAAAGGGUGCGUAGGCGGACUGUUAAGUAAGGGGUAAAAGCCGGGGGCCCACCCCCGGCGAGCCGUUGAAACUGGCGUUCUUGAGUGGGCGAGAAGUAUGCGGAAUGCGUGGUGUAGCGGUGAAAUGCAUAGAUAUCACGCAGAACUCCGGUUGCGAAGGCAGCAUACCGGCGCCCAACUGACGCUGAAGCACGAAAGCGUGGGUAUCGAACAGGAUUAGAUACCCCUGUA
rnacentral:rRNA from 1 species